AGAGUUUGAUCCUGGCUCAGGAUGAACGCUAGCGGCAGGCUUAAUACAUGCAAGUCGUGGGGCAGCGCGGGUAGCAAUACCUGGCGGCGACCGGCAAACGGGUGCGGAACACGUACGCAACCUUCCUUUAAGCGGGGAAUAGCCCAGGGAAACUUGGAUUAAUACCCCAUAAGACAGUGGAGUGGCAUCACUCAGCUGUUAAAGCUCCGGCACUUAAAGAUGGGCGUGCGGCUGAUUAGGUAGUUGGCGGGGUAACGGCCCACCAAGCCGACGAUCAGUAACUGGUGUGAGAGCACGACCAGUCACACGGGCACUGAGACACGGGCCCGACUCCUACGGGAGGCAGCAGUAAGGAAUAUUGGUCAAUGGACGCAAGUCUGAACCAGCCAUGCCGCGUGGAGGAUGAAGGCCCUCUGGGUUGUAAACUUCUUUUAUUGGGGAAGAAACCUGACUUUUCUAAGGCAGUUGACGGUACCCGAUGAAUAAGCACCGGCUAACUCCGUGCCAGCAGCCGCGGUAAUACGGAGGGUGCAAGCGUUAUCCGGAUUCACUGGGUUUAAAGGGUGCGUAGGUGGGCAGGUAAGUCAGUGGUGAAAUCUCCGGGCUUAACCCGGAAACUGCCGUUGAUACUAUCUGUCUUGAAUAUAGUGGAGGUGAGCGGAAUAUGUCAUGUAGCGGUGAAAUGCUUAGAUAUGACAUAGAACAUCUAUUGCGAAGGCAGCUCGCUACACUAUCAUUGACACUGAGGCACGAAAGCGUGGGGAUCAAACAGGAUUAGAUACCCUAGUAGUCC
rnacentral:rRNA from 1 species